CAUUGCAGGAGCUGAGGAGAGGCUGACUCUACAUUCCCAAAUAGGGGGGGACGGGACCCCUCUGCACACAGAAAAUGUGUGAGUGUGUACUAUGUGAACUGGUUUUGCAGCACCAAGACUGCAAUGUCAUACUGUGAAGAUGGAUCUACCAUCCCAGCCACUUUAAAACCUCUUUCCACUAAUCCUAUACAAGUGGAUAAUUAUUAAAGCUCUGAGAAGCUUA